rnacentral:rRNA from 1 species
CACGUAGGCGGAUUGGAAAGUUGGGGGUGAAAUCCCGGGGCUCAACCCCGGAACUGCCUUCAAAACUCCCAGUCUUGAGUUCGAGAGAGGUGAGUGGAAUUCCCGGUGUAGCGGUGGAAUGCGUAGAUAUCGGGAGGAACACCAGUGGCGAAGGCGGCCUACUGGGCACCAACUGACGCUGAGGCUCGAAAGUGUGGGUAGCAAACA